rnacentral:rRNA from 1 species
AACCUACGGGAGGCAGCAGUGGGGAAUAUUGGACAAUGGGGGCAACCCUGAUCCAGCGACGCCGCGUGAGUGAAGAAGUAUCUCGGUACGUAAAGCUCUAUCAGCAGGGAAGAAAAAGACGGUACCUGACUAAGAAGCCCCGGCUAACUACGUGCCAGCAGCCGCGGUAAUGGUU